GCAUAACGCGAAGAACCUUACCAGGCCUUGACAUGCAGAGAACUUUCCAGAGAUGGAUUGGUGCCUUCGGGAACUCUGACACAGGUGCUGCAUGGCUGUCGACAGCUCGUGUCGUGAGAUGUUGGGUUAAGUCCCGUAACGAGCGCAACCCUGUCCUUAGUUACCAGCACGUUAUGGUGGGCACGUCUAAGGAGACUGCCGGUGACAAACCGGAGGAAGGUGGGGAUGACGUCAAGUCAUCAUGGCCCUUACGGCCUAGGGCUACACACGUGCUACAAUGGUCGGUACAGAGGGUUGCCAAGCCGCGAGGUGGAGCUAAUCCCAGAAAACCGAUCCCAGUCCGGAUCGGAGUCUGCAACUCGACUCCGUGAAGUCGGAAUCGCUAGUAAUCGCGAAUCAGCUAUGUCGCGGUGAAUACGUUCCCGGGUCUUGUAC
rnacentral:rRNA from 1 species